GAUGAACGCUAGCGGGAGGCCUAACACAUGCAAGCCGAGCGGUAUUGUUUCUUCGGAAAUGAGAGAGCGGCGUACGGGUGCGGAACACGUGUGCAACCUGCCUUUAUCUGGGGGAUAGCCUUUCGAAAGGAAGAUUAAUACUCCAUAAUAUAUUGAACGGCAUCGUUUAAUAUUGAAAGCUCCGGCGGAUAGAGAUGGGCACGCGCAAGAUUAGCUAGUUGGUGAGGUAACGGCUCACCAAGGCAAUGAUCUUUAGGGGGCCUGAGAGGGUGAUCCCCCACACUGGUACUGAGACACGGACCAGACUCCUACGGGAGGCAGCAGUGAGGAAUAUUGGUCAAUGGGUGCAAGCCCGAACCAGCCAUCCCGCGUGAAGGACGACUGCCCUAUGGGUUGUAAACUUCUUUUGUAUAGGGAUAAACCUUUCCACGUGUGGAAAGCUGAAGGUACUAUACGAAUAAGCACCGGCUAACUCCGUGCCAGCAGCCGCGGUAA
rnacentral:rRNA from 1 species